GACGAACGCUGGCGGCGUGCUUAACACAUGCAAGUCGAACGGAAAGGCCCUGCUUUUGUGGGGUGCUCGAGUGGCGAACGGGUGAGUAACACGUGAGUAACCUGCCCUUGACUUUGGGAUAACUUCAGGAAACUGGGGCUAAUACCGGAUAGGAGCUCCUGCUGCAUGGUGGGGGUUGGAAAGUUUCGGCGGUUGGGGAUGGACUCGCGGCUUAUCAGCUUGUUGGUGGGGUAGUGGCUUACCAAGGCUUUGACGGGUAGCCGGCCUGAGAGGGGGACCGGCCACAUUGGGACUGAGAUACGGCCCAGACUCCUACGGGAGGCAGCAGUGGGGAAUAUUGCACAAUGGGCGGAAGCCUGAUGCAGCAACGCCGCGUGCGGGAUGACGGCCUUCGGGUUGUAAACCGCUUUCGCCUGUGACGAAGCGUGAGUGACGGUACUGGGUAAAGAAGCACCGGCUAACUACGUG
rnacentral:rRNA from 1 species